UACGGAGGGUGCAAGCGUUAUCCGGAUUCACUGGGUUUAAAGGGUGCGUAGGUGGGUUGGUAAGUCCGCGGUGAAAUCUCCGAGCUUAACUCGGAAACUGCCGUGGAUACUAUCAAUCUUGAAUACUGUGGAGGUAAGCGGAAUAUGUCAUGUAGCGGUGAAAUGCUUAGAUAUGACAUAGAACACCGAUAGCGGAGGCAGCUUGCUACACAGUCAUUGACACUGAGGCACGAAAAGCGUGGGGGAUCAAACAGG
rnacentral:rRNA from 1 species